UCAUAACCGUGCGAAGGUAGCAUAAUAAAUUGUUCUCUAAAUAGGGACUAGUAUGAAAGGCACCACGAGGGCUUAACUGUCUCCCUUUUCCAAUUAAUGAAACUGAUCUUCUCGUGAAGAAGCGAGAAUAAAAGUAUAAGACGAGAAGACCCCAUGGAGCUUUAAACUCAUCAUCAUUUACUCUUUAUUACAUCAUUACAUGCAGUAAAAUUGUUACCUGAGAGUUUUCGGCUGGGGUGACCCUGGAGCAAAACAAAUCCUCCAGGAUGAACGGAAUAANAAUCCUAAUCAAAGAGCUACAACUCUAAGAAUCAAAAUAUUGACAUAAUUUGAUCCAAUUACUUGAUCAACGAACCAAGUUACCCUGGGGAUAACAGCGCAAUCCAUUUCAAGAGCCCCUAUCGACAAAUGGGUUUACGACCUCGAUGUUGGAUCGGGGUAUCCCAGUGGCGCAGCCGCUACUAAAGGUUCGUUUGUUCAACGAUUAAUAACCCCACGUGAUCUG
rnacentral:rRNA from 1 species